rnacentral:rRNA from 1 species
GAUGAACGCUAGCGGCAGGCCUAACACAUGCAAGUCGAGGGGCAGCACGUCUUCGGAUGGUGGCGACCGGCGCACGGGUGCGUAACGCGUAUGCAACCUACCUCUUACAGUGGGAUAGCCCAGAGAAAUUUGGAUUAAUACCGCAUAGUAUACAGAUUCAGCAUUGGGACUGUAUUAAACAUUUAUGGGUAAGAGAUGGGCAUGCGUUCUAUUAGUUAGUUGGAGUGGUAACGGCACCCCAAGACAGCGAUAGAUAGGGCCCUGAGAGGGGGAGUCCCCCACACUGGUACUGAGACACGGACCAGACUCCUACGGGAGGCAGCAGUGAGGAAUAUUGGACAAUGGGCGAGAGCCUGAUCCAGCCAUGCCGCGUGCAGGAAGACGG